rnacentral:rRNA from 1 species
AUGUGGCGGCUUCCCGAUCCAAGAAGCGGAGGCGGGACCUCAUCAGCAACCUCCCUGACGAGAUCCUCGGCACCAUCAUCUCUCUUGCCCACCAAAGACGCCGCGCGGACAACCGUUCUCUCCUCUCGGUGGCGCCACCUCUGGCACUCCGCCCCGCUUAACCUCGCGGUCGAGCACCUCGCCCGCUCAAUCUGGCUCACCGGCUCGUUCCUCCGCGACAUCCACUACAAACCUGUUUACCGCCGGGUGAGCGAGCACAUCGACGUCACCCUCUCCAAGAUCCUCACCGUGCACACCGGCCCCGCUCGCCGCCUCUCCUUGGGUGACCGCCACGGCAUCCGCCUCAACCGCGGCUUCUGCACUAAGUUCGACGGCUGGUUCUGCUCCACCGCCCUCGAUGGCCUCGAGGAGCUCGAUUUCUACUUGGGCGGCGAGCCGGGGUGGACGCUGCCGACCUCCGUGCUCCGCUUCGCGCCCACGCUGCGCGUCGCGAGACUGUGCGGCUGUGAUUUCCACGAGAUUAAAGCUACCCCCGCACUUCGUCUCCCUCGGCUGAAGGAGCUCAAGCUCUGUGGUCGUGCCACUAUCUCGGAUGCGACCCUCCACUGCCUACUCGCUGGCUGCACUGCGCUAGAGAUCCUUCAGCUUGAUAACAUCCAGGGGCUCAGCUCCGUCCGGAUCAUCUCGUCCACUCUACGUAGUAUCGGUGUCUCUGGGAUCCUUCCACUAGUGCAGUCUGUUGCAAAAGCAGGACAGGCUGAAAAUGGACUAGUAUGUGUUUUUCCAUAA